UUGAUUGAAGUAACAAUCAUCAGACUAUAACUAGUUAUUCUUUUUUGUCCACAGGUUACCACAUACAUUAAUGAAGAGUGUGAUAUGUAUGUUGCUGAUAAUUUUGAUUAUUUAUAUAAACCAUUCUUCUGCAGUUUUUUGGAAUCCAGUCGAACCAGUACAGUUUUACGAGAACGCAUGUCUGAUUUGUCAUCUUGGAUCUAAUAGAACCGGUACACCAAAAUGGACUGGAGGAUAUCUAGAUGAAAUUAUCACUUACAACGCAGCAUCUUUCUACAAAGAUAAAUAUACAGUUUAUUAUGACAACAACCAAAAACUAUAUUACUUGAAUAUAACAAAUUUUAAUGAGAAAGAUGUUAAUGUAGUGUACACUUGCUUUUAUGGUCUUCAAAAGUAUAGUAGGAAAUUGACACUCGAUAAAUAUAAAUUUGAACUUGUUCCUAAUGAAAAAUCAAUAAAAAGGCACAUAUGUUUGAACAAUACUGCUCUGACACUGAAUAUAUCAAUCACUAAUGUAUGGCCAGAUCCAUUUUGUCAUUCAUACAUCAAUAACCAGCUUUUGAACUAUACUGCAAGAAGUAACGUUUCCAAAGAAGGAACUUUUCUUCACUUUGAGUAUUCUCUGGACUACGAGUUUGACCAAUACCAUCAUAAUAUAACAGUUAACAUAACAUGUGUUAUUGGAACAAAGCAUAGAAUAUGGCAUACAAUUGUACCAAACCUUAGUGGACCUCCUGUUGAUAUUUGCCACAAUAAUGAAACAUUUGCAAUAGUAAUACUGAUAUUAGUUGUAGCAUCGGUAACAUUUGCACUCCUCUUAUUUUCUUGUUGGUGGAUUGGUAGUAAGAAGUGUUUGCCACAAUUGUAUGAGAUAGUUGACAGUAUAGUAUAUGGAAAAUACCAUGUACCACCGUUUAACUCCGCCAGUAGUGCAUGACUUGCUGCCGGUCCCCAGCCCGGAAGAAAAAGGAGGAGGGAAAAUUACGUUUGCUGAUUAACAGUUUUGCUUUUUUAAAAGCAAAAUAUUUUAAGUUACUUUUCGACUUACUAUAUGCAAUUAUCAUGCAUAAUAUGUUAGUCUAUACUGAGAGAGUAUUACUUUUCUGUGACGAUGUUUAUUUUCAAAACGGUUGUGCAUGCACGUUGUGCGACAGUUAUGUCCAAUGAUUUAGAAUACAACUUGAGGGAACUUGUUAUAUAAUGGAUGUGCACACCGGCAAGUUUAUAUUUCAAUUGAGAAAGAAAAAGUUAACAGUUCACUGGGUGAGAAAUGCUAUCAACAAGACACAAAAUUUAGGACCUUCUACGAUUUGUAGCUUUCAGAUUUUUUAUAGGGAACACAACUGCUACGAAAAUAGCAUCAGCAAAUGUCGAUACGGAUCAACCUCGCUAAUGAGGCUACAACCCAAUGGAAAUUUGAAAACUGAAAUAGUAUUUAAAACUCUACGCAUCCGAUUACCUAGAACCUUAUCUCAGACUACCAUCAAGGAGCUAUAUGUCUUCUCGUACGAAUACCCAUAGCAGUUGGAGAAUAUCGCCUCAAGACUGGAAGUAGUAGUUCAUUCUAGACACACAAAAAAGGUACACCAACGAGAAAUCAAGUAACAUUAGUAGUCAAAUAUUCCAUUUCUGGUACUAACAGCUGCUUUUGUGCAAAAUUUUUACAGACAGUAAAAUGCU